ensembl:snRNA U4 U4 spliceosomal RNA
AGCUUUGCACAGUGGCAUUAUCAUAGCCAAUGAGAUUUAUCUGAGUUGUGAUUAUUGCCAAUUGAAAAGCAAAACCAUAAGACAUUUACUUUAGCUAACAAAUACAGGUGGAAUGCAAUUACCAAAGUAGUUCACAAACA